UACGUAGGUGACCAGCGUUGUCCGGAUUUACUGGGCGUAAAGAGCGCGCAGGCGGUCGUUCAAGUCGAGUGUGAAAGCCCCCGGCUCAACUGGGGAGGGUCACUCGAUACUGAUCGACUUGAAGGCAGGAGAGGGAAGCGGAAUUCCCGGUGUAGUGGUGAAAUGCGUAGAUAUUGGGAAGAACACCGAUGGCGAAGGCAGCCAUCUGGACCGACACUGACGCUGAGGCG
rnacentral:rRNA from 1 species